rnacentral:rRNA from 1 species
AUGCUUAAGGUGCCCCAUGUGGAUGUCUUUCAACAUGUUUCAUCUAUCCUCAAGGAGUAUGGAUUUUGCCCUACUGGAGAUCCCAUGGACACUGUAAACCUCCAGCCUUAUGAGUGCAGAAAGUCAAACGGAGAGUCAUGCAAAGGGCUUAAAAAUGCAAACACGGCAGUUACGGAAUUGGCCAAUCUGGAUGCUGCAGAGGAAAAGGUCACAACCGUUGGAAAUGACAACCUCUCCCUUAUGGCACGGCAGCACACCAAAAAAACACAGGCUGUGAGAAAGAAAGCAGGCGGAGGAUGGGAUCCCACAUAUACAAAGAGAAGUUUCUUCCCAUACUGGAGAUCAGUGUUACAAGAUCAGGUUCCUUUGAAGGUGUAUCCAGCCUAUGCAAGCUCAGAUCCUAGUCCAAAUCAUAAACUUGGUCCAAUGCGAAGGACCUCGCCAUUUACAAGCAACAAUCAACCCAGAAGGUGCUUUGUCACUGCUGCUAUUGGUGCAUUCAGGCUCUUGAAGGUGCUAAAAUAG